rnacentral:rRNA from 1 species
UGAACCUGCGGAAGGAUCAUUACCGAU